UACGUAGGGGGCUAGCGUUGUCCGGAAUCAUUGGGCGUAAAGAGCGUGUAGGCGGCUCGGUAAGUCCGCUGUGAAAGUCGGGGGCUCAACCCUGGAAUGCCGGUGGAUACUGUCGGGCUAGAGUCCGGAAGGGGCGAGUGGAAUUCCUGGUGUAGCGGUGAAAUGCGCAGAUAUCAGGAGGAACACCAAUGGCGAAGGCAGCUCGCUGGGACGGUACUGACGCUGAGACGCGAAAGCGUGGGGAGCAAACAGG
rnacentral:rRNA from 1 species